rnacentral:rRNA from 1 species
CAAUAGCGUAUAUUAAAGUUGUUGCAGUUAAAAAGCUCGUAGUUGAAUUUUUGCUUGCCGCCGAUGUCGGAACUUCCGUACGUUCGGCGGCGUGCAUCCUUGGGUGGAACCUGUGUGGCAUUAGGUUGUCGUGCAGGGGAUGCUCAUCGUUCACUGUGAAAAAAUUAGAGUGUUCAAAGCAGGCUUACGCCGUUGAAUAUAUUAGCAUGGAAUAAUAAGAUAGGACCUUGGUACUAUUUUGUUGGUUUGCGCACCGAGGUAAUGAUUAACAGGGACAGUUGGGGGUAUUCGUAUUCCAUUGUCAGAGGUGAAAUUCUUGGAUUUCUGGAAGACGAACUACUGCGAAAGCAUUUACCAAGGAUGUUUUCAUUAA